rnacentral:rRNA from 1 species
GACGAACGCUGGCGGCGUGCCUAAUACAUGCAAGUCGACCUUAGUGGCGGACGGGUGAGUAAUGCCUAGGAAUCCGCCUGGUAGUGGGGGGUAACGUCCGGAAACGAGGGCUAAUACCGCAUACUAUCAGUUGAGCCUGGGUCGGCUUAGCGAGUUGGUGGGGUAAGGGCCUACAAAGGCGACGAGCCGUAACUGGACUGAGAGGAUGAUCAGCCACACUGGAACGUAGACACGGCCCAGACUCCUACGGGAGGCAGCAGUGGGGAAUAUUGGACAAUGGACGAAAGCCUGACCGAGCAAUGCCGCGUGUGUGAAGAAGGUUUUCGGAUUGUAAAGCUCUUUAAGUUGAGAAGCGUUACCUAAAGAAUAAGCAACGGCUAACUUCGUGCCAGCCGCCGCGGUAAUAC